rnacentral:rRNA from 1 species
UGGGGAAUAUUGCACAAUGGGCGCAAGCCUGAUGCAGCCAUGCCGCGUGUGUGAAGAAGGCCUUCGGGUUGUAAAGCACUUUCAGCGGGGAGGAAGGCGAUAAGGUUAAUAACCUUGUCGAUUGACGUUACCCGCAGAAGAAGCACCGGCUAACUCCGUGCCAGCAGCCGCGGUAAUACGGAGGGUGCAAGCGUUAAUCGGAAUUACUGGGCGUAAAGCGCACGCAGGCGGUCUGUCAAGUCAGAUGUGAAAUCCCCGGGCUCAACCUGGGAACUGCAUCUGAUACUGGCAAGCUUGAGUCUCGUAGAGGGGGGUAGAAUUCCAGGUGUAGCGGUGAAAUGCGUAGAGAUCUGGAGGAAUACCGGUGGCGAAGGCGGCCCCCUGGACGAAGACUGACGCUCAGGUGCGAAAGCGUGGGGAGCAAACAGG